UCUGCGCGGCCGCCACGGCGAGCGCCGCUCCAGUCCCACUCAGUUUGCUCAGUACGGCGCGCCGUAGAAACUGCUGCUUCAGCCGGCGACGGUCGCUUGCCAGCCGUCAUGAGCCACGCGCACUCCGGCACGACCGCCCCGCCCCCCGUGUUCCUCAGGAAGUACUGGAACUCCUCGAAAGGCCGCUUGCUGCCGCUCGGUCAUUUGGCAACUCCCUGUCAUUUUUACUUGGCCACGAGCAGUGCCCACUAUGUAGAGUGGACGGCGUCACCGAAGGCCGGUAGCCACUGCCGGUGGCCCUUAGCCACCUGAUGGAAUAAUUGCCUUGCCCGUGCAGCCUUCAAAGAGCAACAUCCUGCGCCAGAGGUCCGCAUACAAUACCAGUCUACUGCUCUGUGCUCUGUGAACGACGCGGAUAACGUUGGCUGGUCUUGGAUGUACACUACAUCAUCGCGUCUGAGUGCUACCAGGAGUUAAGUACGGCGACAAACUUCGAUAACAGUAACGAGGAGUAACUUCAAAAGCUACAGCAGCUGGAAGAACAACACAGACCCCUGGCAGGAAUUCAAAGACAAGCAGUACAAGUUCUGGUCCUCUCAAGACUACAGCUCCUUGCCAAAGACUGACCGCCCCGAGUUCUCAGCAGGUCCCUUCGCAGUAGCCCAUGUAUAUGAUAGAUUUACGUUAGGCUGACCUGAGGCACCAAUAAAGGCUUCUU